GAUGAACGCUGGCGGCGUGCUUAACACAUGCAAGUCGAACGGGAAUUCUUUUAUUGAACCUUCGGUCGAUUUAAUUUAAUUCUAGUGGCGGACGGGUGAGUAACGCGUGGGUAACCUGCCUUAUACAGGGGGAUAACAGUCAGAAAUGGCUGCUAAUACCGCAUAAGCGCACAGAGCUGCAUGGCUCAGUGUGAAAAACUCCGGUGGUAUAAGAUGGACCCGCGUUGGAUUAGCUUGUUGGCAGGGUAACGGCCUACCAAGGCGACGAUCCAUAGCCGGCCUGAGAGGGUGAACGGCCACAUUGGGACUGAGACACGGCCCAGACUCCUACGGGAGGCAGCAGUGGGGAAUAUUGCACAAUGGGGGAAACCCUGAUGCAGCGACGCCGCGUGAAGGAAGAAGUAUCUCGGUAUGUAAACUUCUAUCAGCAGGGAAGAUAGUGACGGUACCUGACUAAGAAGCCCCGGCUAACUACGUG
rnacentral:rRNA from 1 species